UAGCGGCGGACGGGUGAGUAACACGUGGGCAACCUACCUUGUAGAUUGGGAUAACUCCGGGAAACCGGGGCUAAUACCGAAUAAACCAUUUUGCUUCAUGGCAAGAUGUUGAAAGGCGGCUUCGGCUGUCACUACUAGAUGGGCCCGCGGCGUAUUAGCUAGUUGGUAGGGUAAUGGCCUACCAAGGCGACGAUACGUAGCCGACCUGAGAGGGUGAUCGGCCACACUGGGACUGAGACACGGCCCAGACUCCUACGGGAGGCAGCAGUAGGGAAUCUUCCACAAUGGACGAAAGUCUGAUGGAGCAACGCCGCGUGAGUGAAGAAGGUUUUCGGAUCGUAAAACUCUGUUGUAAGGGAAGAACACGUACGAGAGUAACUGCUCGUACCUUGACGGUACCUUAUUAGAAAGCCACGGCUAACUACGUGCCAGCAGCCGCGGUAAUACGUAGGUGGCAAGCGUUGUCCGGAAUUAUUGGGCGUAAAGCGCGCGCAGGCGGUUCUUUAAGUCUGAUGUGAAAGCCCACGGCUCAACCGUGGAGGGUC
rnacentral:rRNA from 1 species